rnacentral:rRNA from 1 species
UACAGAGGGGGCAAGCGUUGUUCGGAAUUACUGGGCGUAAAGGGCGCGUAGGCGGCCUUCUAAGUCGAACGUGAAAUCCCCGGGCUCAACCCGGGAACUGCGUCCGAUACUGGAAGGCUUGAAUCCGGGAGAGGGACGUGGAAUUCCUGGUGUAGCGGUGAAAUGCGCAGAUAUCAGGAAGAACACCCGUGGCGAAGGCGGCUCUCUGGGACGGUACUGACGCUGAGACGCGAAAGCGUGGGGAGCGAACAGG